CUCUGGGUUAUUUUUUAAAAUGCAUAUAUCUCAAUUUCUUCUCCCCAAAGUUUAAAUUUGCCAUUGUAAUGAUGGGUCGGCACCAAUAUCUAAACGAAGACGAAUAUGAAGUGAACUUGAAAGAUUUCGAACCCCAACCCGGCAACAUGUCUCACCCAAGGCCAUGGCUAGGACUUGACCAUUUCAACAAAGCCCCAAAGAGAAGUCGCUACACGUACCUUGAAAAAGCUAUUAAAAUCCAUAACUGACUUACCCCUCUCCCAAGUUUGUUCGAGACAAGGAAAAAAAAGAGGGAGGGAGGCAACCAUAAGUGUGUGUGUGUGUGGCGUGUGUGUGGCGUGUGUGUGUGCGCACCUUUUUAACAACCGACCGUAGGACUUUUCCGGCACACGUGCACACGACCCGGCGUCUCCGGCGAGAGGAGCUUUGCUGCCGGUGGGAUUAAUUUUAUUUGGAGGCUACUCCCUUUGGCUUCUCUGUACCUUUUAUUGACUGCCCUCUUUUUUCUGUUUUGUUUUUUGAGCAAAAAAAUGAAGGUGUUUUAUAAAACAAAACGAUCAAGCUUUGGGUGCCAACGAGAGUUUUUAAUGGGGGAUCGAAAGGAGGCGUCACAAAGGGGAGGAGAGGCGAGGCAAUGUUAUCGACGGUGGACUCGGCCCGUAAUGCGUUGAAUGGGCUGGCCUUCCCUUUCCCCCACAGUUCCCUUUCCCCCUGCCAUCAACUGCAGUAUGACUAUGGUUAGGCUCACAUUCCCUUCCUGUUUUGUUUCCUCCUGUUAUAUCCUUUGAUUUUUUUUUUUGGACGCCUUUGUAAAUGCAAACAGAGAGAGAGAAAAGACAAAACUCAACAUCAUCAAUAAAUAGCAAUCUCUACUUCAUGGUGUACACUGUUGGCACUUAUUCGGACACGUUUUGUUGCGUUUUGGGUGGAUUAUCUCCUUUAAAAAAAUAUCAUUAUUAUUAAUUUUAAAAUAAAUGGAGUUGGAGUCACCAUUGGGCUUUCUUUUUCCCUCCCCACACCUCACUUUUUUCCUGAGGAAAUAAGUCAGAAUCCUCAAAGAGGGAAGGAGGAAGAUCCGGGGUCUUUUGAAUUCCCUUUUAGAGAUGGCUAAACAUUCAAAAACCCUUGAGGUCAUGCAUUGAAAACCCUUGAGGUUUUGUAUUUAAAAAUCCUUGGGGUUGUGCAUGGAAAGCCCUUGAGGUGUUAUGUAUAAAAAGCCUUUGGGUUUAUGCAUUAAUAGCCCCUGAGGAUAAAGAUGAACCCGACGCCUCUGAAGAUUUGCUUCGUAGUGGAAAUUAGCGAAUCUGGGAAUGGGAGAAGCGACACAGGCCUUUUUAGCACUAAAGGCAUGAUGUUCACUAGUGUUUUAGUAAGAUGUUGACUUUGUAUAAAAUAAUGAGAGCGAGGGGCUUGGGAGGGCACAGAAAAUGUAUAUUUAAGGGAGGAUGUGUACAAUUGGAUGCUCAGAGGUGGCGUUUGGGGGGCCGGGGGGUGUUGAGGGGGUGCUGCUGCCUGCAAGCGGAUUUCACAGAUGUCAAUAUUCCUAUUCAUUGUGUGUAGUUUUUAUUUCGGUUCCCCCGGCGGCUCUCCCCCCUCCCCCCAUUUUAGUUUGGAGCUAAUGGCAGCCCGUUUGUGUCUAUAUCAGGUUUUCUUUCCCCCUUUUGGAGUGCAGUAAAGCUAUAGAACCUGCAGUUUACACUCCCCUUUCUUUUCCUUUUUUAAAAUUUUCACAUUCUUUAUCUUCUUCCCCUCAGUACUUAAUUUUUUUUGUUUUUGUUUCUGUAGCUCCCUGUGCAAUGAUUCUUCCUGUAUAUUGCCUUUUUUGCUGGAAAAAAAAAAGAAAUGUUGUAUGUUGAAUAAAAAUUUUCUAUAAAAUUGUA